GUGGGGAAUAUUGGACAAUGGGGGAAACCCUGAUCCAGCGACGCCGCGUGAACGAAGAAGUCCUUCGGGAUGUAAAGUUCUUUUAAAUGGGAAGAAGCAAGUGACGGUACCAUAGGAAUAAGCCCCGGCUAACUACGUGCCAGCAGCCGCGGUAAGACGUAGGGGGCAAGCGUUACCCGGAAUCACUGGGCGUAAAGGGAGCGUAGGCGGUUUAUCAGGUCAUGAGUGAAAGACUCCGGCUCAACCGGAGAGGUGCUUAUGAAACCGAUAAACUUGAGGAUAUCAGAGGAAAAGGGAAUUACCAUUGUAGGGGUGAAAUCCGUAGAGAGUGGUAAGAAUGCCGGUGGCGAAGGCGCUUUUCCGGGGUAUACCUGACGCUGAGGCUCGAAAGCCAGGGGAGCGAACCGGAUUAGAUACCCGAGUAGUCC
rnacentral:rRNA from 1 species